rnacentral:rRNA from 1 species
UGAACGCUGGCGGUAUGCUUAACACAUGCAAGUCGAACGAAAGUUUUUAACUUUAGUGGCGAACGGGUGCGUAAUACGUGAGAAUCUGCCCUUAGGAGGAGUAUAACUGCUGGAAACGGCUGCUAACACUCCAUAUGUCGAGAGAUGAAAUAAUUUAUUGCCUAAGGAUGAGCUCGCGCCUGAUUAGCUAGUUGGUGAGGUAAUGGCUCACCAAGGCCACGAUCAGUAGCUGGUUUGAGAGAACGAUCAGCCACACUGGGACUGAGACACGGCCCAGACUCCUCCGGGAGGCAGCAGUGAGGAAUUUUCCGCAAUGGGCGAAAGCCUGACGGAGCAAUACCGCGUGAGGGAUGAAGGAUUUUGGUCUGUAAACCUCUUUUCUCAAGAAAGAAGUUCUGACGGUACUUGAGGAAUAAGCAUCGGCUAACUCCGUGCCAGCAGCCGCGGUAAUACGGGGGAUGCAAGCGUUAUCCGGAAUCAUUGGGCGUAAAGCGCCUGUAGGUUGUUUAAUAAGUCUGUUGUUAAAGCCUAGGGCUUAACCCUAGAAAAGCAAUGGAAACUAUUAGACUAGAGUAUGGUAGGGGUAGAGGGAAUUUCUAGUGUAGCGGUGAAAUGCGUAGAUAUUAGAAAGAACACCGGUGGCGAAAGCGCUCUACUGGACCAUUACUGACACUCAGAGGCGAAAGCUAGGGUAGCAAAAGGGAUUAGAUACCCCUGUAGUCCUAGCCGUAAACGAUGGAUACUAGAUGUUGUGCAUUAAGGACAGUAUCGUAGCUAACGCGUUAAGUAUCCCGCCUGGGGAGUACGCUCGCAAGGGUGAAACUCAAAGGAAUUGACGGGGGCCCGCA